rnacentral:rRNA from 1 species
UACGUAGGGUGCAAGCGUUGUCCGGAAUUAUUGGGCGUAAAGAGCGCGUAGGCGGCUUGUCGCGUCGGCUGUGAAAACCUGGGGCUCAACCCCGGGACUGCAGCCGAUACGGGCAAGCUAGAAUUCGGUAGGGGAGACUGGAAUUCCUGGUGUAGCGGUGAAAUGCGCAGAUAUCAGGAGGAACACCGGUGGCGAAGGCGGGUCUCUGGGCCGAAAUUGACGCUGAGGAGCGAAGGCGUGGGGAGCAAACAGG